AUGGCUUCUGAGAAUUCUUCUCCACCAGCAGACAGGAUGAAAAAAAAUAUUAGCAAUGAUCGGAUUCUAUGCUAUCACGCCGGUAUUUAUGUGCCAUUAUUGAUAGGAAUGCUGCUUGUUUGGAAUCUGGAAGGUAAACAGAGUUUCAAAUUCCAACCCUCUAUUGUGGAAAGUAAUAACCCUGCAGCAUGGCCAUGCAAAUUAAGGAACUCUGAAACCCCAAACCUCCAAUCACAGCACCGGGCACACCAACAUUCCAAACACGCCUCUCUCCCCAAAGAGAGCCUGGCUCAUGCCACGGAAUCUUUUCAGAGCCAGCAUCAAAGGCUGCGUGAGGCCCAGUAUGUGGGACAUCUCAUUGCAGCCCAAGUCCCAACGUGGGGUGAGGGAAGUGCUGUGCCAAUUUAUGUUCUGCCCAGAAGUGGGAGGAAUCUAAUCUUCAUAUAGGAAGCUCCAGCCAACAUUGAGGCCCGUGGACACAUUGGGUUAGAAGAUUCCUUCCCGUCCACUCUCUCCUUCCACGUGUGGAAGCUCAGGCAAAAAGCAGCAAGUCACUUGCUCAAAAUCUUGUGAGUCCUAAUAUUUAAAUCCUGAAAAUAAACUCCAAACUCCCCUUUUUGGUUUUGUGCCG
rnacentral:lncRNA from 1 species